rnacentral:rRNA from 1 species
AUUGAACGCUGGCGGCAUGCCUUACACAUGCAAGUCGAACGGCAGCAUGAUCUAGCUUGCUAGAUUGAUGGCGAGUGGCGAGCGGGUGAGUAAUACAUCGGAACGUGCCCUGUAGUGGGGGAUAACUAGUCGAAAGAUUAGCUAAUACCGCAUACGACCUGAGGGUGAAAGUGGGGGACCGCAAGGCCUCAUGCUAUAGGAGCGGCCGAUGUCUGAUUAGCUAGUUGGUGAGGUAAAGGCUCACCAAGGCGACGAUCAGUAGCUGGUCUGAGAGGACGAUCAGCCACACUGGGACUGAGACAAGGCCCAGACUCCUACGGGAGGCAGCAGUGGGGCAUUUUGGACAAUGGGGGCAACCCUGAUCCAGCAAUGCCGCGUGUGUGAAGAAGGCCUUCGGGUUGUAAAGCACUUUUGUCCGGAAAGAAAUCGCACUUACUAAUAUUAGGUGUGGAUGACGGUACCGGAAGAAUAAGGACCGGCUAACUACGUGCCAGCCGCCGCAGUAACAC